rnacentral:misc_RNA from 1 species
AAGUCGUAACAAGGUUUCCGUAGGUGAACCUGCGGAAGGAUCAUCAUUAAUGGAUAUAAUCCACAAGGUAUAAUGAGGAUUGAAUACUAAAAUUUGGGUACAAGUGACCCAAAUCUAUAUAUAAACUAUGAUAUUUGAAUAAAUCAGAUUAGAAAAAAAAAAUACAACUUUCAACAAUGGAUCUCUUGGCUCUC